CCUACGGGAGGCAGCAGUGGGGAAUAUUGCACAAUGGGCGGAAGCCUGAUGCAGCAACGCCGCGUGCGGGAUGACGGCCUUCGGGUUGUAAACCGCUUUCGCCUGUGACGAAGCGUGAGUGACGGUAAUGGGUAAAGAAGCACCGGCUAACUACGUGCCAGCAGCCGCGGUGAUACGUAGGGUGCGAGCGUUGUCCGGAUUUAUUGGGCGUAAAGGGCUCGUAGGUGGUUGAUCGCGUCGGAAGUGUAAUCUUGGGGCUUAACCCUGAGCGUGCUUUCGAUACGGGUUGACUUGAGGAAGGUAGGGGAGAAUGGAAUUCCUGGUGGAGCGGUGGAAUGCACAGAUAUCAGGAGGAACACCAGUGGCGAAGGCGGUUCUCUGGGCCUUUCCUGACGCUGAGGAGCGAAAGCGUGGGGAGCGAACAGGCUUAGAUACCCUGGUAGUCCACGCUGUAAACGGUGGGUACUAGGUGUGGGGUCCAUUCCACGGGUUCCGUGCCGUAGCUAACGCUUUAAGUCCCCGCCUGGGGAGUACGGCGCGAGCGAACUACAAGAAGUAGACGCGNGAGACGNGCGACGACGACGACGAGGAGAG
rnacentral:rRNA from 1 species